GCAGACGUCUUUUGUGAGGCUGUGUACGGUGUGUAGGAUGGAGUGACAAGAGCCCUGAGUGAAAGAUUCAUUGUCUUUGAAUAUGGCCUGCUUAGAAACCUUUCUUCAUUCUAUGCCACAUCAGGGUUACAUAUCUCAGUAAGUAUUCAAAGUAAAUCUAUUCUUUUUAAAAACGGAUAGAAAUGA
rnacentral:lncRNA from 11 species